UGACCAUGAGAUUACGCUGGAGGAUG
rnacentral:piRNA from 1 species